GACGAACGCUGGCGGCGUGCCUAAUACAUGCAAGUUGAGCGCUGAAGGUUGGUACUUGUACCAACUGGAUGAGCAGCGAACGGGUGAGUAACGCGUGGGGAAUCUGCCUUUGAGCGGGGGACAACAUUUGGAAACGAAUGCUAAUACCGCAUAAAAACUUUAAACACAAGUUUUAAGUUUGAAAGAUGCAAUUGCAUCACUCAAAGAUGAUCCCGCGUUGUAUUAGCUAGUUGGGGAGGUAAAGGCUCACCAAGGCGAGGAUACAUAGCCGACCUGAGAGGGUGAUCGGCCACAUUGGGACUGAGACACGGCCAAACUCCUACGGGAGGCAGCAGUAGGGAAUCUUCGGGAAUGGACGAAAGUCUGACCGAGCAACGCCGCGGGAGUGAAGAAGGUUUUCGGAUCGUAAAACUCUGUUGGUAGAGAAGAACGUUGGUGAGAGGGGAAAGCUCAUCAAGUGACGGUAACUACCCAGAAAGGGACGGCUAACUACGUG
rnacentral:rRNA from 1 species